rnacentral:rRNA from 1 species
AUUGAACGCUGGCGGCAGGCCUAACACAUGCAAGUCGAACGAGGCGCGGGCGGGUGAGUUAUGUCGGGGAAACUGCCUGAUGGAGGGGUAUCACUACUGGAAACUGUAGCUAAUACCGCAUACCCUCAGAUGUGCCCAGAUGGGAUUAGCUGGUGGGUGGGGUAACGGCUCACCAAGGCGACGCUCCCUAGCUGGUCUGAGAGGAUGACCAGCCACACUGGAACUGAGACACGGUCCAGACUCCUACGGGAGGCAGCAGUGGGGAAUAUUGCACAAUGGGCGCAAGCCUGAUGCAGCCAUGCCGCGUGGAUGAAGAAGGCCUUCGGGUUGUAAAGUACUUUCAGCGGGGAGGCGGUACCCGCAGAAGAAGCACCGGCUAACUCCGUGCCAGCCGCCGCGGUAAUUC